CUUCUCCCGGCCUCUCCCGGACAGCGCUCCUCGCUGGCUGCUCUCCGCUCCCUCGGCCUCCUUCCUCUCUGCUGCUUGCUCCACUCAGCUCCCUGAGGGGGUUCGGCUUAGCGAGAAGACGGAUGCCGGAGCAGAAACUCUACAAGGGUGUGAGAGUGAGGAUAAUUACCCCCACUUCCAUGAAGAUGAAAACUGAGAACCAGAAGUAUGCAAUUGACUUCAGAGAAUCUCUGACUUGGAAGAGAACUCAGAAACCAUCUAACCCAAACUGGACCUGACUGAAAAUCCCUCUACAAUAUCUUCAGUGAUUCAGUCCAACAAGAAAUUGUUCACUGGAAAUAAACUGAGAAGACAGAGCAGUGAUGAAACCUGGGCAUGGGCAUGAUUCUGGGUCAGAUGUUUGAUUUGUAUUUCUGGUAAUUGUCCUUGAGAUUAGAACUUAAUGGAAAACAGCUGAUUAGAGAAACGAUGAAAUGGACCACCUCUAGUGGUAGUGAGCUCUUCAUCUUUGAAAGUGUUCACACAGAGGCUGAGGGACCACUUUGAGUGAAUCUGUAAAGCAUAUUCCUCUUCAGAUAGGGGUUGGGCUACAUGACCUGAUGCCCCCUUCAACUCCGGUAUUCUAUGACUACGUUAUCAUUUCAUGACAUUCCUCAGUAGAGAGGCAUAAUAGCCUAAUGAAAAGCCUGUUCGACUUUGAGUGAGGAGACCAGAGACAGAGUCUUCUGGGAAAAAUGUGUCCCUAUUGUCUACUAAAUAGAGUUCAAACUCUUUCCCCUGGUAUUUGAAGCCCUUCACAAUCCAGCCUCAACCUACAUUGUUUGUUCUAUCUGUUAACUUACUGGUUGGGUGACCUUGGGCUAUAACUCCAUUUCACUGAAGUCUUAAUUUUCCCAUCUGUAAAAUGGUGUGGAAGCAAGGUGGACUCUCCAGACCCUCUUUUAUGGGCCUUGAGUCAAAAAAGGCAAAGGCUAUUUCUGCCUGCUUAAAAAUUAGAUGACUAAGGCUUCCUUGUGAGGCACAAUAUUGCACAGACUAGUUUCCUCUCUCUGUAAGCAGCCAAUGGUGAAAUAUAUAACCAAAGUGUCUUAAGAAAAUGUGCUGUAUAUAUGUUGAAAAUCUUGCCUAAUAUGGAAUAUUGGUUGUAGUCAUCUUUUUCUGUCUACUCAUUCUAGCUUAUAUAUGUAUAUUAUAUUACAUUGCAUUGUAUAUUAUAUCAUAUUUAUUAUAUUAUACUUAUUAUAUUACAUUAUGUUUAUUACAUUAUACAUAAGCAGCUUCUUGGUACAGUGGAAUAAAGCAAUUGACCUAGAGCCAUAUUGGUGAACCUAUGGUACACAUGCUAGAAGGGACUGCUCCCCUCUUCCUUUUCAUGAAUGCAUGAGGACAUUUCCUUAUUAUUCCCUUCCUUCCUUAUGUUAUACAGCAUGUCCCAAAAGUCUUAGUACAUUUUGAGUUUUGAUAAUUUCAGCAAUGUAAAAUCUGCAGACUUUCAGAAAACAUCAUUUGAAACAUAAUUAUUAAAAUGUAUUUUAUAUUACUUAGACUUAUGAAUUUUUAGUAAUAAAUUUUUAAUUUUAAUAAUAAUAGAGUGAUAUAUAGUAUAAGAUGGUGGUGAUAAAUUAUAGCAGAAGCAUCAGCAUUUUAACAUUUCAAAUAACUGAUCUUUCAAAUCUUGCCAUUUGUAAGUCUUAUGAAUUUAUAUUUGUAAAGUUAUUAAAGAUUAAAAGUCUUGGAGACUAUUGGGACGCACUGCAUAAUUUGUAUGCAGACUUUUCUGUACUUUCAAACUCUUUGAUCAAACCAGUUCUCCUUGCAAUGACUUGUGCCUAAUCAAUACAAUGACUUUGUCAUAUCCUAAGCAACUUUCAGAGUAAGGACAUAUUCCUUCCAUGAUAGAGAUGAUGACAUUCAGCACGACCUACUAUACAGAUUGUUUUGUAAACAUUAAGGCACUUCAUAGAAAUGAGUUAUAGUCCUCAUCUUCACCAUCAUUAUUAUCAUCAUCAUGUUCAAAUUCAAUGGGUUUAUCUACCUAAUAAAGUUUAAAACUACUGA